UUUAAGGGCUAAUUUGUGGUGUCCCUGUUGCUGUGGUGGUGGGAGCAUCUGUUCACCCUGCAGGGAAGUCCAGGAACUCCUCGCCGAGGAGACGUCGCUGGGGGAGG